rnacentral:rRNA from 1 species
GCGCCUACGGGGGGCUGCAGUGGGGAAUAUUGGACAAUGGGGGCAACCCUGAUCCAGCCAUGCCGCGUGAGUGAUGAAGGCCCUAGGGUUGUAAAGCUCUUUUGUGCGGGAAGAUAAUGACGGUACCGCAAGAAUAAGCCCCGGCUAACUUCGUGCCAGCAGCCGCGGUAAUACGAAGGGGGCUAGCGUUGCUCGGAAUCACUGGGCGUAAAGGGUGCGUAGGCGGGUUUUUAAGUCAGAGGUGAAAUCCUGGAGCUCAACUCCAGAACUGCCUUUGAUACUGGAAAUCUUGAGUAUGGGAGAGGUGAGUGGAACUGCGAGUGUAGAGGUGAAAUUCGUAGAUAUUCGCAAGAACACCAGUGGCGAAGGCGGCUCACUGGCCCAUAACUGACGCUGAGGCACGAAAGCGUGGGGAGCAAACAGGAUUAGAUACCCCAGUAGUCGG